ACGGAGGGGGCAAGCGUUGUUCGGAUUUACUGGGCGUAAAGGGUCCGUAGGCGGUUGCGUGUGUCUGGUGUGAAAUCUUCAUCGCUCAACGGGAAGAGGCCACUGGAAACUGCGCAACUUGAGUAUGGUAGAGGCAAGCGGAAUUCCUGGUGUAGCGGUGGAAUGUGUAGAUAUCAGGAAGAACAUCGGUGGCGAAGGCGGCUUGCUGGGCCAUUACUGACGCUGAGGGACGAAAGCGUGGGGAGCAAACGG
rnacentral:rRNA from 1 species